GGACUACAAGGGUAUCUAAUCCGGUUUGCUCCCCACGCUUUCGUGCCUCAGCGUCAGGAAAGGCCCAGCCGGCUGUCUUCACCUUUGGCGUUCCGAUAGAUCUCUACGCAUUCCACCGCUCCACCUAUCGUUCCACCGGCCUCUACCUUCCUCGAGCCGCGCAGUUUGCCCCGCAGUUCCCCGGUUAAGCCGGGGGAUUUCACGGGACACUUGCGCGGCCGCCUACGCACCCUUUAAGCCCAGUAAUUCCGAUUAACGCUCGAGACCCCUGUCUUACCGCGGCUGCUGGCAC
rnacentral:rRNA from 2 species